rnacentral:rRNA from 1 species
GCAUCGAUGAAGAACGCAGCGAAAUGCGAUAAUUAAUGUGAAUUGCAGAAUUCAGUGAAUCAUCGAAUCUUUGAACGCACAUUGCGCCCCCUGGUAUUCCGGGGGGCAUGCCUGUCCGAGCGUCAUUGCUGCCCUCAAGCACGGCUUGUGUGUUGGGCUUCCGUCCCUGGUAACGGGGACGGGCCCAAAAGGCAGUGGCGGCACCAUGUCUGGUCCUCGAGCGUAUGGGGCUUUGUCACCCGCUCCCGUAGGUCCAGCUGGCAGCUAGCCUCGCAACCAAUCUUUUUAACCAGGUUGACCUCGGAUCAGGUAGGGAUACCCGCUGAACUUAAGCAUAUCAAUAAGCGGAGGA